GAGGCCAGGAAGGAGCUGGUACGAUGUACAUUACUGUCGGUUUUAGAUUUUAGUGAUGUUAUAUAUACAAGCCUCAACCACCACCCUGAGAUCCCUUGAUUCAGUGUAUCGUGCAGCCCUCAGGUUCAUUACAAAUCAAAAACGUCUAACACAUCAUUGUGAUCUCUACAGCGCUGUUGGCUGGUCGUCAUUGACCUUGUGUAGGCUUAAACACUGGUAUACACUGAUUUAUAAGGCCAUAUUGGGUAAAAUGCUAUUUAUCUCUGUUCUUUUUUUUAGUCAGGUCAGUAAAUAAAUAUUGAUUACAGUCCCAUUCCGAUUUGCUUCUAACAGUACCAAAAAUUAGAACAGGUCAUGGUAGAAAUAGUUUGUUACUUAGCUCCGUGGUUCUGGAAUUCUCUCCUGAACAUUUAAAAAUGUGAUGAUCUAGUAUCAUUGGUGGAGUUUAAACACUUGAUCAAUGUAUAUAUCAUAGAAGAGUGUAAUUGUUUUUAGGCCAGCUGUUUUUAGUAAAGACUUUCAUGUUUUUAACGUUAAAUGUUUUUGUUGUACUGUAUGUGUGUUUCAUAGUUUUGCUUACUGUUGUUUUAGUGUAUGUAAGUUGUUUUGCUUGAAACGUUGUUCCCCCUGCUUGUAACGUUCGUCGUCUUCCUCUGAUGAGGAGUAAGAGAGGACGGACCAAUUUGCAGCGUGGCUUUCUUGAUUGCCUUCACAUCAGGUUUCUGCUUUACCAGUAAAAGUUUGACAACAAUCUGAACGGAUAUGUUAAUUUCACUCUGGCCUAUGCUCCACACAGCUACACGAGCCAACCCAUGUGCAGGCUUUCCAAUGGUAUUUUACUAUUUUAUAUUUUAUCACCUUUACUCUAUUGAUACUACUCUCCUCAGAAUCCCUCUUCUUCCACUGAGGUUUCUGUCUAAUUUCACCCUGUCUUCUUUUCCAUCCCUCUGUCUCACUAUCUAUUUAUCCUUCUUUACCUUCCUGUCACCCCCAAUGUAUGCUCUUUUCCCUCCAUCCCUCUCUGCAGCUUGUAGUGUUUUUCUUCCUGUAAGCGAUAGACUGGAUGGUGCCAGAUGUCUCUGAGUCUCUGGAGCUGAAGAUGAAGAGAGAGCGCUACUUGGCUAAGCAGGCCCUGGCUGACAAUCAGGAUGCCCUGUUGGUGAGUCAGCGUGCCCCGGCCUCCAGCCCAGGUCAGUGGAACAUGGCGAUGCUCACACACCCUCACCACACACCCACUGCUUUCCUG
ensembl:lncRNA